AUGUUGUCGGCAUGGCGAUCGACCAGCAUGCAUCAUGGCGAAUUCACCAGCAUCGUAAAAGCUAGCUAUAUACCGCUAGGCGGCGGUCGUCGGCGUGCCGGCCUCGCUCCUCGUCUCGGCGGGGCUGUACAGCGCCGACCUGCUGGCCUUGGGACGGCUCUCCUCGAGCUGCCGCGCCACCUCCGCCAUGCUCGGCCGCGCCGCCGCCACCGGCGCGCAGCAGCCCAUCGCCAGCUUCAGCGCCUGCACGAGGCCCUCCUCCGCGGGGCUCCGCACGCCCUUCGCCACCUCCGGGUCGAACACCUCCACGGCCGUCUCCUCCAGCACCGCCGCCUUCACCAGCGCCGGCAGGUCGUCGCCCCCGUUCGCCGCCGGGGAGGGCUUUCUCCCCAUCAGCAGCUCCAGCAGCAGUAUCCCGAACGCGUACACGUCCGUCCGCGGCGCGCACCGCUUCAUCGUCUGCAGCUCCGGGGCCACGUACCCGUCCGCCCUCGCCGCCGACAGCACGGCCUCCGCCGCCGACGGCACCAGCAGCCUGCCCACCACCGCGUACUCGGUCACCCUCGCCACGAAGUAUUCGUCCACCAGCACUUUCGACGACCGCACGUUGCCGUGCACCACCGGCGCGUCCCCGUGCCGCCCCUCGUGCAGGUACGCCAGCGCGCGCGCCGCGCCCAGCGCGAUCUUGUGCCGCCGUGGCCACGUCAGCGGCGGCCUGCUUUCGACGCCGCCGCCGCCGUGGAGGAGGUCAUGGAGCGUCCGGUGCGGGAAGUAAUCGUACACAAGCAGCUUCUCGCCGCGCCGGCCCUGGUAGAAGGCCCGGAGCGGCACCAGGUUCUCGUGCCGCGCGCGCCCGAUGCGCCGCACGGCCGGCCCGCACGACGCCGCGUCCUUGCAGCUCCCCUCGCGCAGCAGCCGGAGCUCGAUGCUGCCGCCGGCGUCCGCCAGCUUCGCCUUGUACACCGUGCAGUAGCUCGCUUUCUCCACCACCUGCCCCGUCGCAUUCAGCACCUCCUCCAGCGUCAGGUGCUCCCCGCCCUGGAACACCACCAGCUUCCCCUCGCCGCCUUCCUCCGUCUCCAGCCCCUCCUCCGCCGCUCGCCUCACCCUGUUCCGCCUCCACCUCCCCUGCGCCCACCCGAUGCACACCGACGCCAGCACGACGGCGCCGGCCAUCAGCCCGAUGACCAUCCCCGCGACGCUGCCGGAGCUGAGGCCCGAAGAGGAUACGCACGGCUGCUGCAACGGUGGGCCGCACAGCGCCGGGCUGUUUCCGAGGAACGAUUCCGCUGUGAAGCUCGAGCUCGCGAAGCCCGGAGGCAGCUGACCGGAGAAGUUGUUGUACGAAAUGUUGAGCAUCUGGAGGCCUCUCAUCGCGGCGAGGGAGUCCGGUAUGGAUCCCUCGAGGCGGUUGCCGCCGAGGUCGAGGCGCUGGAGGCCACGGAAGCCCGUCAGGAACGCCGGGAAGUCGCCGGAGAAGCGGUUGGCGCCGAGGUCAAGAAUCCGGAGACGGUCGCACGUAUCGUUGGGCCCCGCCGGCGCGGGAAUCGCUCCCGUGAGAGCAUUGCCGUGGAGCCGGAGCUCGGCGAGGCGGUCGCAGAGGUUCCAGAUGGAGGGCGGGAGCGCGCCGGAGAGGGCGUUGCCGGCGAGGUCGAGCUGGGACAGCGCGGGCGCGUUGCCGAGCUCGAGCGGGAUGGCGCCAGAGAGCGAGUUGGCGGCGAGGUAGACGGUCUCGAGGGCCGCGAAGGCGCCGAGCUCGGGCGGGAGGCGGCCGGCGAGCGCGGCGGCGGGGAGGCGGAUGGAUGUCAGGAGCAGGGCGGCGUCCCCGGCGAGGGAGAGGUUGGCCCGCGCGCCGGGGAAGUCGCAGCGCAGCGGGCGGCCGGCGGGCGUGGACCAGCGGAGGCCGCGCCAGAGGCAGAGCGGCGUGGAGGCGUUCCAGGUGGCGAGCUGGGCGUUGGCGGCGGCCGCGCCCUGCAGCGCCGGCUUCAGCUUGUCGAUGACGAGCGCGACGUCGCCGGCGGCCGCCGCGACGGGGCGGAGCAGGAGGAAGCCGGCGAGGAGGAGGAGGCAGCGCGGCAGUGCGCGCGCUGUGGUGCGCAUCGUACAAACACUGUGCAGGGGGAGCUAUGGCUAUGGCUAGCUGAAUCUGAGUGGAGCUGGGAGCUGUGA
rnacentral:rRNA from 1 species